AGCGGUGGACGAGUCCCAAAUAGGACGAAACGCGCGUCCUGGAU
rnacentral:hammerhead_ribozyme from 1 species